GGGGUCAGCCAGCAGUAAAUCUGGGGGCUCCCCUGAGAAGGAGAGUGAGCCCCACAGUAACCUAGGCAUGUCGGUGUAAACCUGAUUGUCUCGACAUUUUCUGUUUAAUUGAUUGGUGCUGUGAGGAGUUCGGCUGCUCGUGGUAAAACAGCGUACUCCAGUUUUAAGUCAUCGGGUAAAAUAAUAGGACAGUGAUUUCCAUCUGUGCUUCAGUACCCACUUUGUGUUCUUUUCUUGAAAAGUCAUACUAAAGGUUAAUUUCAAGUAAAAUGAAUUUCCUUCCAAGUAGCCUAUUAGUAAAACACAACUUAGUGUUUCAUCCAUUGGGGUGAGCAUAUACUGCCCUUUGCAGCCCUGCCUGUGUUCUGAUUGGCUCCAUUCAUGAGCAAAGGUGAUUGUGAGCUGUAUAUUACACAGGUGUCGCCCAGGUUUCGUAACCUCCACUUUAAUGCAGUAAGCCGCAAGAAUGACUUCUGCAAGUGAAAUGAGGAAGCUUCACUAGCUUGCUCCAUUGGAAGGUAAACUGAAAUUUUAUACGUUGAAGCUUAAAAUCUAAAUUUAUGUAUGUUUGGAAAUGGAAUGGACAUUAACAUAAAAUGUAUUUUAUCAAAAAA
ensembl:lncRNA novel transcript